rnacentral:tRNA from 1 species
GCCCGGAUAGCUCAGUCGGUAGAGCAGGGGAUUGAAAAUCCCCGUGUCCUUGGUUCGAUUCCGAGUCCGGGCACCACUA